CGGAAAGUAAACAAAAGACGCUUGUAACACCGACACACACCUUCGGCAAAUAUACAGAAAUGUGAAAAACUUUAGCAUCCUGCAAUCACAGAUGAGUCAAUAGGAGGAAGCAAUUAAAUGAGGAGGGAAGCAUUCCGGUGAAAUGGAGCAGCUGUUCAGUUGGGUGCUACACAUUGGUACGAGUGGUUGAGACACCAGAUCUGUUCGUGAGAUGGGACCCUCCGGAUUUUACGGAUAGAAAUACGGGGGGCGGCUCGGUCUCCGAUGCCACUCUCUUCGCCAUCGAGAGCCGCGGUUUUUCCCCGGGGAAAUGAGAUUUCAUUCAUGGAUGGGCUAGAGCAACUGGAGUGGACAGCGGGUUCAUGGAGCACAUCACAAAUGUGAUAAACAAGCUAUUUUCAGUGCAAUUUCACUCGUUACACAGAAAUGAAGGAUUUACACAUUGCAGUAACUAAAAGCCCUCUUAAUAUGAAAAAAAUAUUGCCUUUAUGAAGUAUUCAUUUGUUAUUCAGGAUAAAAUCUGAGAUGGAAUGAGGGGUUGUUCAACUGAAGCCUACUACUGUUAUGUAUGACAAAACAGAAUACUUUUAGCAUUGAAUGUAGACAUGCAUUUUGAAAGGUUGGGUCUAGAAAACCAAAUAAUACUGCACUCAGAUUUGAUUGGGUGUGUAAUCACUGGAAUGAAGUAAUAAAGCUUUCUUUUUUCCUUGAUUUUCCAUUUGAGCUUGAUAAAAUGAAUUUCUCCUCUCUCUUUCUCUCUCUCUUUCUCUCUCUCAUGCGCACACACACACGCACAUUUGUUUACACAAGCAAAUGCACCUUACACUGUACACACACAUGUCCAUGCACAGAUGCAUACACACACACACACACACACACACACACACACCCUUAGCGUCUGCUUUGAGCUGGAAUGGCAAGAAAAUUUGAACAGGAUUUUUCUAUUGGACCAUUUACUUGGCAUGCUAGUGUCCUUAGAAAAUGCAUCCGCUCCACUCCCAGGUGUGUUUCAAAGAAAUUGCCAGUUAGGAAUUUUAAAAAAAUCUCUUCAGGCAUUUAAAAUGAAUUAUGAAUGAUGAUAAAACAAAGCAAAGUUCUGUCACUAUUAUUUUGCUUACUAAUCUUGUAAAAGUAAAACUGGGGCACAGACCAAACUGAAUUUUCCAUUCACCUUAAAGGGAUAACAUCCCUUGCAAUUUCAAAUUGGCAACUGAACUGAAAUGAACUGGUACCGUGCGGUGCUGUCUGGACUUAACAAAUGGGCCAAUUCGACUCUCUUUCCUUCCAGUGAGGAUCCCCCAAGUCUGUGCUUAGUGAUCAAUGAGAGCAAUCUCUUCAGUCCAACGACAUCGAAAUUUAAAUGUUUGCUGGUGCACCUGGCUUGGAUAAAUCCAAACUCCGCCACUGAAGAAAUGCACAUGCCAAUACUUUCACUACAAGGGUGGUGUAGCAAAUUUCUGAAUAUGUCAUACGAACAUAAAAGCAUGUAAUUCAGGUUCACAAAGCCUCGAUAAGGAAAUGAGUCACAUUAACUAAAGACGAUUCUUACGGAGAUUUGUAUG